GUACUGCUGAAGAGUCCCAAACUAGGAUGGUGGAAACAGCUGUCCAGUAC
rnacentral:hammerhead_ribozyme from 1 species